rnacentral:rRNA from 1 species
UACGGAGGAUGCAAGCGUUAUCCGGAAUUAUUGGGCGUAAAGCGUCCGCAGGUGGUUAUCCAAGUCUGCUGUUAAAGCGCGAGGCUUAACCUCGUACAGGCAGUGGAAACUGGGUGACUGGAGUAUGGUAGGGGUAGCGGGAAUUCCCAGUGUAGCGGUGAAAUGCGUAGAUAUUGGGAAGAACACCAGCGGCGAAAGCGCGCUACUGGGCCAUUACUGACACUCAUGGACGAAAGCUAGGGGAGCGAAAGGG